GCUUCCAUGGUGUAGUUGGUUAUCACGUCAGUCUCAUAUAACAAAUAUGUAUGACCUAGUUCAUCUAGGGUUAUCUGAAGGUCGCCAGUUCGAACCUGGCUGGGAGCA
rfam:Verruconis gallopava strain CBS 43764 unplaced genomic scaffold supercont1.5, whole genome shotgun sequence.